rnacentral:rRNA from 2 species
UACCUGGUUGAUCCUGCCAGUAGGGCAAGCUAUUCUCGAAGAUUAAGCCAUGUAUGUGCCAAGUUCAAACGUUAAUCGUGAGACUGCGGACGGCUCAGUAUAUCAGUGAUUAUCUAUUUGAUUGUCUCUCCCAUUGGAUAACCGUGGGAAAUCUAGAGCUAAUACAUGCAGUUUAUUGGUAUUUCGUAAGAUUUGCCAAAGCAUUUAUUAGAUUAAACCAUCUACUACGAAAGUAGUAAGACGAAUCUAGAUAACUUUGCUGAUCGUAUGGCCUUGUGCCGGCGACGUUUCAAUUGAGUUUCUGCCCUAUCAACUUGUUGGUAAGGUAUUGGCUUACCAAGGUUGCAACGGGUAACGGGGAAUCAGGGUUCGAUUCCGGAGAGGGAGCCUGAGAAACGGCUACCACAUCCAAGGAAGGCAACAGGCGCGCAAAUUACCCAAUCUAGACAGUAGGAGGUGGUGAAGAGAAUUACUAAGUGGUGGUUCAUUGAACUAUCAACUUGGAAUGAACGUAACUUAAGCAAUUCGAUGAGAAACAACUGGAGGGCAAGUCCUGGUGCCAGCAGCCGCGGUAAUUCCAGCUCCAGUAGUUUGCUUUAAAGUUGUUGCGUUUAAAACGCUCGUAGUUGGAUCACGCAGCAGUGUUUAGUAAUCUAUUCACAAGUAAGGUGAUAGUUAUGCUCGUCUCUGACGACUUAGCUGAUCCUAACUUUGGUAGAUGUUUAAGCUGACCGCUGUUAAUUGCACGUGAGAUGGAUUGUUGACCUUAAAUGUGUCGGUAAUCCCGUCUUGCGGAGUGUGCCUUGAAUAAAACAGAGUGCUUAAAGCAGGCUUAUGCCUGAAUGUUAUAGCAUGGAACGAACAAUCGUGUCUACGUGCACAUUUCUCAUAUGAUGAUUGGCCUAUGGUUAGUUAUUGUUGGGAGUGUGUACAUCACCCACCAAAGUAUGGCUGUUGGUUCCAUAUACGGUGAUGAUUAACAGGAGCGGUUGGGGGCAUCAGUAUUUGGCCGCGAGAGGUGAAAUUCUUGGACCGGCCAAGGACUAACAAAUGCAAAGGCACUUGUCCAGACCGUUUCCAUUAAUCAAGAACGAAAGUGGGAGGUUCGAAGACGAUCAGAUACCGUCCUAGUUCCCACUGUAAACUAUGCCGACCUGGGAUCAGUCUAGAGAUGUUACAAGCUCCAGAUUGGUCCCCCUGGGAAACCUCAAGUUUUUCGGUUACGGGGAGAGUAUGGUCGCAAGGCUGAAACUUAAAGGAAUUGACGGAAGGGCACCACCAGGGGUGGAGCCUGCGGCUUAAUUUGACUCAACACGGGGAAACUUACCUGGUCCGGACAUCGAUAGGAUACACAGACUGAUAGAUCUUUGUUGAUGCGAUGAGUGGUGGUGCAUGGCCGUUCUUAGUUCGUGGAGUGAUCUGUCAGCUUUAUUGCGGUAACGAACGAGACCACAGUCUCCAUUUAAGAAACAGAAGUAGACGACUAGUUGAUGCGGCUUGCUGCGCCAGUUGGUUGUUGUUAGUAAUUGUACGGAAAUUAACUUCAGUUGUAGUGGAUUGGAAACUUUUUAUGAAGGCUGGAGUUGAUUUUUGUUAUAUUCUCUUUUGUCGUGUAGUAAUGGGUUUACCAAUUGCUGCCUUAUGGAGAGACAACGAGGUAUAAACAAGCUCGAGGAAGAGUGGCUAUAACAGGUCAGUGAUGCCCUUCGAUGUUCAGGGCUGCACGCGCGCUACAAUGAUAACGACAACGAGUAUCCGCGUCGAAAGACGUAGGUAAUCUUUAAUCGUUAUCGUGAUGGGGAUUGACCGUUGUAAUUAUCGGUCAUGAAAGAGGAAUCCCUAGUAUGCAUAUUUUAUUAGAAUGUGCAGAUUGAGUCCCUGCCCUUUGUACACACCGCCCGUCGCUACUACCGAGUGAAUGGUGUCAUGAUGCUCUGGGACUGGACGUCAUGCGAGGUUUCGGCUUUGCUAGAUGCUAGGAUCAGUGUAGAAUGGCGCAAUUUCGAGGAAGUAAAAGUCGUAACAAGGUUUCCGUAGGUGAACCUGCGGAGG